UACAGAGGGGGCAAGCGUUGUUCGGAAUUACUGGGCGUAAAGGGCGCGUAGGCGGCCUUCUAAGUCGAACGUGAAAUCCCCGGGCUCAACCCGGGAACUGCGUCCGAUACUGGAAGGCUUGAAUCCGGGAGAGGGAUGCGGAAUUCCAGGUGUAGCGGUGAAAUGCGUAGAUAUCUGGAGGAACACCGGUGGCGAAGGCGGCUUUCUGGACAGAUACCGACGCUGAGGCACGAAAGCUAGGGGAGCAAACAGG
rnacentral:rRNA from 1 species